rnacentral:lncRNA from 1 species
AAGGCUGUUUUCUUUCUUCCUCCUUUCUCUUCGGGCCGUACUAACUCCUAGAUGUAGGGAUAGGUAGGGAAAGUUUCUGCCCACUCCCUCCAUAGGUCACCUGCAGCAUUUCCCAGAAUUCCUGGCUUCUGGAAAGAGUUUCCAGGAAAUGAAGCAGCUGCUGCUUUUUCUCUCUAGAAAGAAUCAAAUUGAUAGCAUGCCUUUGAAUCCCACUUUUAGGCUACACGGAGACAAAUAUACAAGUAGAGAGCAGACUCUCUAGGAGGAAGAAAAGCAGAUAUACCUCCUAGCAGAGUGAAAAGGUUCUUAAGCUUGUGAAUAUAUGAAUUCACAGUGGGAGGUCCAUGUUCAAUCAUUGGUAGGCCAUAUACAAUAAAAAUAAAAGUUGUGUUGUAUGGGUUGGAUCUGUGUCCCCACCAAAUCUCAUGUUGAAAGGUAAUCCCAAAUACUGGAGGUGGGUCUGGUGGGAGGUCAUUGGAUCAUGGGGGCAGUUUCUCAUGGUUUAACACCAUCCCCCCUUGGUGCUGUCUUCAGGAUAGUGAAUUCUCAUGAUAUCUAGUUGUAUAAAAGUGUAUGGCCUCUCCCACCUCUCUCUCUUCCUCCUGUUCCAGCCAUGUGAAGUGCUGGUUUCCCCUUUGCCUUCCACCUUGAUUGUAAGUUCCCUGAGGCCUCCCCAGAAGCUGAUGCUGCCAUGCUUCCUAUACAGCCUACAGAACCAUGAGCCAAUUAAACCUCUUUUCUUUAUAAAUUACCCAGACUCAGGUAUUUCUUUAUAGAAGUGCAAGAAUGGACUAGUACGGGUGUCUACAUGAGAAAUUACUCUUUCUGUUUUAUUACAUCUUUCUUUCUCAGGUUUUGUCCUUCACCUAAAAGUAAUUAAAGCUGAUUAGUUUCAAAAUAAAUUAUGUACUUGAUAUAUGGUAUGCUUCUGAAUAAUUAAUCUUUAUAUUGUUUAAGGGUCAUAUUUAAAUAUUUUAAUGCUUUUAAUAAUUACUUUUUAUUCCUGUAACAAGAAAAUAUAUUUCCUCCAAAAUAUAUGUGGCUCCUGGCAAGUAGCCAUUUUUCAACUUUAUGAUUCACUUAAAAAACAUGUUUUUCAUAUUAUAAACCAUGCUGUUUCAUUUUUGUCUUGCUUUGAGCAGAAAUAGUGUAUGGUAAAAGCUAAGAGAAAAAACAGGAGAAAUUUGGUAAGUGGCAGUCUUUAGAUGAUCUUGGCCUAUUUCAAAAUUUUUAUCUCAACCUUGUUAUAUUAAUUUCACUUUAUGUGCAUAUUUGAGUUAAAAAAUGUCUUGGUAUCAAUGUUAUGUUCAUAUAUUUCUUUUUAAAUUUGGUUAUGUAAAACAUGUAAAAUAUAUGGAUAUUUGAGCAGUAAAAACAUUUUGAACCUUUAAUUCAACUUUUUCCACAGAAUUUUGACUGCCUUAUCUCAUAAAAGAAGUAUGUGUGUUCAUCUUAUUUUCACUAUUGAGAUAAAUCACACAAAAAACCCAACAGUGAGCAGUAAAGAUUCACUUAUACAUGACCUGAAGGUUGGAGAAUUACCAGGCCCCAUGUAGUUUACAUUGUCCAAAACCACCCUGACGAGAGUUACAAGGGGAGUCAUAGGGGAAGUUCUAACUCUCAGACAAAUGUUGCAGGAAACACUGACUGCUACUUAUAGAGAGGUCCAGGAAAUAAAGUAUUCCUGUUAAGUUUGGAAAAGCUGCACAAAUGUGUCUUUACUUAGCAACUCACAACACCUUUGAAUACAGGAAAGACUCCUGACUUUAAAGAAAGCUACCUGACUUUAUUAACCCCAGUGUUAACAUUCUGUAGAACAUUGUUCUUAAACAAGCUUUUAAUCCGGUGGUCCUGUAAAGGCUCAAAUGUCCUAAUCCCUUUGCCAACGUGGAGGAGUACUGUAUGUCUUCAAGAGCCCAGGAGUUCUAUCUAGGAAAUAUCCUCUUUCCCCGGGUCUAGAUUAUACCAGCCAAGUUAGCCUCAUGGCAGGCCCAUGUGGGACCUACAGAACUUCCUGAUAUUUAUGAGGUUUAUAGUUUAAACCCCAAAUUGGAGUCUAACUUAGAGGGUGGGGUAAGGAAGAAACUUUACAUAGGUAAGUUUCUGAUCCUUAUCCUGAAAAAAGAACACGAGUUCACUGGGAUCCACCUUACAGCCCAGGCAUUGUAAACGCUGAGGAUUUUCUUCACUUUGGUCCCUAUCUUAUUCUAUACCAUGCCGCAGUAUGCAUACAAAGUAAAAACAGUCAACUCUAAUGCCAUUAUAGGGAUGAGUCUAUCACAGGAAGAGCUCUUGGUCCUGUGGCUCUGCAUUGGCCUGCCAGAAUCAACAAUGAUGUCUGGGAGCUGACGUGUCUUGGCUGAAGUCAGCAUUCAAGGCGAUUAUCUAGGUCACUGCAGCCUAGAGCAGCUGCGGACUCAACUCAGGCAGGCAACUCACAAGGCUAAGCAGAUGCACCAUUCUGUAAAUACUGGCACUGGAGAUGUUGAAAACUACCAGGAAAUUCUCUACUAAGAGUUUUCCAUUCCUGAGGCUUUUUAUAGAACUAGCCACAAUUCUAUCACUGCAGUCUCAUUCCUGCAGAACCUGGAGGGGUUUGAGGAAUAAUUUUAUUCAGCAUCCAUAGAGCCAAGUACAAAAGAACCCUCUUCUAACAAGGUGGCAAGCUGGAAAGGCUUGACCCCAACCAUCUGUGCACAUGUCUCAGGCCAUUAGAAUCGCUUUAGGCCAUUCCUGCCGGUUGGGUCUUUGGGAGGCUUCUAUUUGGCACAACAUUUCAAUACGCUAUGACAUAUUAAGCAUGCUCUAGAGCUGAACAUCCAAUCAGAAAGGCCCGGGUGGAUGGCAGAGGGAGCUCCUGAGCCAGUGUCCAUUCUUCACCUUGAGAAGAACAUUAAUGGAUGCUGCAUUUCAGAGCUCCCCAUGUCGAAGAGCUGAAACACUAUUCUAGUUAUUGUUUGUGUCCUAAUGAAAAUGUUCCUCUAUUUCUUUGUUUCCAAAGGAAGUCACCUGCCUCACUGGUAUUCUCAGCCAUAUAAUAGAGAGUUUUGGUAGAGCUAUUUAAGGUGCUCCAGCUACAAAUGCAUUUUUUCAUCAUUUGUCAUCCACAAAACAGUGACCAGACAGAACACAUCCAGAAGAUAUUUGAAAGACACCUUCAGAGCCCUCUCCCCAGAAGUAGAGUGGUGAAAAAUGACAGACGGUGAUGGAGUAAGAAAAUCUCACCCUGCAGCACUUACAUUAUGACCUUAUAAUAUUUUGGUUUGUGUUUAAUUAUCUUCUUAUGCCAAUAAUCUUAUGCAUCUUAUGUUAUUUCAGAUAAUAAACUUAGACAAAAGAA